GGAUUUAGUCACCCAUCUAAAGUCUAAAUUCAUGUAAUAUUUGCUCAGAAGCUAAGCAGGGUUGGGCCUGGUUAGUACUUGGAUGGGAGACCAUCUAGGAAGACUAGGUGCUGUAGGCA
ensembl:rRNA 5S_rRNA 5S ribosomal RNA